rnacentral:rRNA from 1 species
CGUAGGGUGCGAGCGUUAAUCGGAAUUACUGGGCGUAAAGCGUGCGCAGGCGGUUCGCCAAGUCAGGUGUGAAAUCCCCGGGCUUAACCUGGGAAUUGCGCUUGAAACUAGCGGGCUUGAGUGUGGCAGAGGGGGGUGGAAUUCCACGUGUAGCAGUGAAAUGCGUAGAGAUGUGGAGGAACACCGAUGGCGAAGGCAGCCCCCUGGGUCAACACUGACGCUCAUGCACGAAAGCGUGGGGAGCAAACAGGAUUAGAUACCCUGGUAGUCCACGCCCUAAACGAUGUCGACUAGGUGUUGGGGAAGGAGACUUCCUUAGUACCGCAGCUAACGCGUGAAGUCGACCGCCUGGGGAGUACGGUCGCAAGAUUA